CAGCGCCACAAGUGGGGAUCGCUUUUAUUGGGCCUAAAGCGUCCGUAGCCGGUCUAUCGAAUCUCUUGUGAAAUCGUCCAGCUCAACUGGACGGCGUGCAGGAGACACUCCUAGACUAGGGACCGGGAGGGGUCAGAGGUAUUCUGGGGGGAGCGGUAAAAUGCUAUAAUCCCCGGGAGGACCACCGGUGGCGAAGGCGUCUGACCAGAACGGAUCCGACGGUGAGGGACGAAAGCCAGGGGAGCAAUCCGGAUUAGAUACCCGAGUAGUCCUGGCCGUAAACGCUGCGAGCUAGGUGUUGCGCAUUCUCCGUGAAUGCGCAGUGUCGAAGUGAAGAUGUUAAGCUCGCCGCCUGGGAAGUACGGUCGCAAGCUG
rnacentral:rRNA from 1 species